rnacentral:lncRNA from 1 species
AGCAUAAGCACCACACAAUCCAAAUGGACACUGGUGUUUACUAACCGGAUCAGGCAAUCAGAAUGGGCUGUGAACCACCAGGACAGCUCCACCCGCGCAGAGUGGCACAGGAGCACCCUCGAAGGCCUCCGGCCCCCGCAGCUUUCCUACAUUCCAUCUCCUGUCCAAACCCAUUCCCGCCCACCCUCCUCUCCUAUCUCCUGCUCCUCUUGUUCUCCUCUCCAUAAUUUCUCAUGCCUGGGAAGACUUUUCUUUCAUUUAUCGCUCAUAGUUUUUAGGUGCAAGGCACAGAACCAACUCUGGCAGAGUGAAGGGGCAAAGGGACUCAUCAGAAGGCACUGGAGAGCCGGCAGGAUCCCUGGGAGAGCCAGAACCAGGCGCCGAGGCUCUGCAGUGGGGAACAACGCUCACAACAAGGCUUUAGAAACACUGCUGUUGCUAUGGACACUGGACCCCGCAGGUUCCUCCACUGACAACACUGGGCACCGUAUGCAGCCAAGGUCCCUGUCAUCACCCAACACCAGAACACCUGCUUCUUCCAAGUCCCAGCUUCCUAAUCAAUGUCAAGGCUGGAAGGCAAGUAGGUGAAUGGUCUUCACCUUUGCAGGGAUAAAGGGAUGAAAAGAACCUGAGUCUCCAUCACCAAGAGCCAUCAGACCAGCCUCGACUGACGGUCAGGAUUAUUACUUGAGAAGUUAAACUAUUUUCUUAUUUAAGUCACUGUUUUGUGUCUCUUAUUAAAGCAGCUAGCUAUAACCAGCAAAUGCAGAGUUGAACCCAGGGCCACUUGACCCCAGAGACCAAAACCUGAACCACCACAAUAUGAUGUUUUUUGUUUUUUUUCUUUAAAUGUUUAUUUAGUUUUGAAAGAGAGAGAGCACACACGCAUGAGCAGGGAGGGGCAGAGAGAAAGGGGGACAGAGGAUCCAAAGCAGGCCCCCCGCUGACAGCAGUGAGCCCAAUGCGGGGCUCAAACUCACAAACUGUGAGAUCGUGACCCGAGCCAAAGUCUGCUCAACGGACUGAGCCACCCAGGCACCACAACAACAUGGUGUUUUUCCACACCACCCAUAUACCUUAUAAUCAUCUAUCAUACACCUUAUGUUAUAUACCACAGAUCAUAUAGUGGAACACUUUGACAGAGGUGGUUCUCACUUCCUGAAUUUAUAUUAGAUCCCAAAGUGAAUAAAAGAUGGUACUUUAUAUAUUUUUUUAAUGUU